rnacentral:rRNA from 1 species
UUAACCAUAGUNCGCUUUGGAAACUGUUUAACUNGAGUGCAGAAGGGGAGAGUGGAAUUCCAUGUGCAGCGGUGAAAUGCGUAGAUAUAUGGAGGAACACCGGUGGCGAAAGCGGCUCUCUGGUCUGUAACUGACGCUGAGGCUNGAAAGCGUGGGGAGCGAACAGGAUUAGAUACCCUGGUAGUNCACGCCGUAAACGAUGAGUGCUAGGUGUUAGGCCCUUUCCGGGGCUUAGUGCCGCAGCUAACGCAUUAAGCACUCCGCCUGGGGAGUACGACCGCAAGGUUGAAACUCAAAGGAAUUGACGGGGGCCCGCACAAGCGGUGGAGCAUGUGGUUUAAUUCGAAGCAACGCGAAGAACCUUACCAGGUCUUGACAUCCCGAUGCCCGCUCUAGAGAUAGAGUUUUACUUCGGUACAUCGGUGACAGGUGGUGCAUGGUUGUCGUCAGCUCGUGUCGUGAGAUGUUGGGUUAANNNNNNCAACGAGCGCAACCCUUAUUGUUAGUUGCCAUCAUUCAGUUGGGCACUCUAGCGAGACUGCCGGUAAUAAACCGGAGGAAGGUGGGGAUGACGUCAAAUCAUCAUGCCCCUUAUGACCUGGGCUACACACGUGCUACAAUGGCUGGUACAACGAGUCGCAAGUCGGUGACGGCAAGCUAAUCUCUUAAAGCCAGUCUCAGUUCGGAUUGUAGGCUGCAACUCGCCUACAUGAAGUCGGAAUCGCUCGUAAUCGCGGAUCAGCACGCCGCGGUGAAUACGUUCCCGGGCCUUNU